CUUGGAUGCGAUGAUCCUUGUGGGUCCCUUUAACAUACAUUAUUCACACUAAAAAAAAAAAAAAAAAAAAAACUUUGAAUAGGGAUCUUGGAUGAAAUUCUGCUUAAUUAAAAUCACUGCAAGUUUUUGCCAUUGAUUUCAGUAAAAGCAGAUUUCAGAUGUUAUCAUUUUUCGAUUUAAAAUCCAAAUAACAAUAACAAUAUAAAAUGCCCCACUGGAAUAGGAUUUAUGAUCAUGCAGUUUCUUUUGCCUGCGAAUACUAAUAAAUCUAUUCUGCAGCCUGGUUGUGGCAAUUGCUAUGACUUUCCCCUGCCAAGACUUACACAGAGUGAAAGUACUCCCAGGAUUUUGCAAGAGAAACAUCUGGUACAAGUCCAGGUUAUCACUGUGCAGAGAAAUUCUGAAGGCUUUAUUCAGGUCUUAUGUGGUCCUUUGGCAAAACUUGCAUAGCUAAACUUUUAAUGGAAGACAUCUAAGUGGGGGGAGGGGGGGGGGUUCUUUUUUUACAUAAAGUUAAUACACUUCAUUCUUACUGUUAGCACUCUUCCUAAAGGUCUCAAAGCAAAGAAACCAGCAUAUGAAAUGAUUCAAUAGCAACAAGCAGGGUUUCUUUCUCUUAGAGCAGCACAGUGGUUGUUAAUAGUUUGGAUAUUUGCAGGCCAAAUUUAACAAAUUACCAGUGCCUGAAAAAUUAAGUAUUCUAUUUCCAGUAUUAGUCAUUUUCUCUCAUUAAUUUUCUAUUACUGCCACAGAGCACCCUUAGGUAGGAAGCUGAGCAGGCGUACAUCACUAGCUCAAUCACAGCAACACUAAAAAAAACUCAGAAAAAAAAAAAGUUAAUUUUUACAGUUUUCUGCAGAAUUAUAAGUUAUUUUCAAUUAAGUUUCAAGAACUGGUUGUUUUGAAAACGCCUAUAUAUGAUUUUGCCCUAGCAGAAAACAUCCAUCUCUUCAGCAAAAAGCAUGUGAACUGUUUAACCAGUCAUAUUGUGUUCAUAAAAGUGUUAAUUAGGCUUUGAAGUUGAUGUUGUUAUAAAACACAAUAAUAUAAGGAACAAGUACUCAGCUGAGGCAAGGCACAUUUAUUUUAAAUAUAUAUAUAUAUCCCUUUUCUUCUUCCCACAAAUAUCUGUUUCAGGGUGGACUCUAUACAUCCAUUCUCCCAAAACAAGAUUUCCUGUCACACAGCUGUGUUCACUAGACCCAUCAAAGGAGUUAAUAGAUUAUUAAUAGCAGUUAAAGGUUAUUAUUUGCAAUACCUUGUCCAAGAAAGAAAUCCCAGAAGGAAUCUGAAUUCCCCCUGGAUGCAUUUCAUAUAAAUAUCUUGAAGAAUUGCAGCUCUGCCUUGUUCUACAAGACCAACCAGACCACUGCUUUCUGGAGAGAGUUCUUCUAAAACAAUAGCAAGCUAACAUUUCUGUGCUUACUGAUAAAUGGAGGAACUGAGGAUGUGCUGCGUGUACUGAACAGAUCCUGAGGGUAUAUAAAAGACUUAAAAUCUGGCCAAGUCCUAAAUAUCCAAGAGUCAUUCUAGAUUUCCAGGACAGCAUGAGCGAGGAACACAGACAGCAAGAAGGAUAGUGCUCAGCAUGGAAGCUUGGCAAUACAGCUAUGGAUAUUCUGAAGCCCUAAUAUUUCAUCCCACUUUCUCACAGUGUGUUCAUGUCUCUGGAGUGCUGUGGUGGACACUGACACCACCCCACUAUGGUCACUGCUUCAGGUGAAACAAAAAUCUCAUUUCAAAACAAUAAAAUAAAAACCAGAGGACUAAGCAGACAAAAUUACUUAAAAACAUACUCCUGGGUUUAUGUUUCCAAUUGUUUGUACUUUUCUAUGACCCAUUAGGCACAUUGCUUUUUAAUGCGCAGAAAUCCAUUCCCCUACAGAGAGUCUAUUCUGAAGGUUUUUAUUGUACGAAUUCAACUUAUAAUAAAGGUAAAUACAUAUCAUUUCCGAUGUAAUCAUUAAGUUUUCCCCAUAUGCGGCUUUUAAACAUGCUGUACUUAACAAAAUAUAUAGUUCUUGGAUAUUUACUCAUUUCUACAUUGGAAGGUUACUUGACUGAAAUGUAAAACCUUUUAUUUUUUAAGAAAAACAAUCAGUUUUACCUCUAAAUACACCCUAACCUACA